rnacentral:rRNA from 1 species
CACGCCGUAAACGAUGAGAACUAGGCGUUGGGGAGCUUGUCUCCUUAGUGCCGCAGCUAACGCGUUAAGUUCUCCGCCUGGGGAGUACGGUCGCAAGAUUAAAACUCAAAGGAAUUGACGGGGGCCCGCACAAGCGGUGGAGCAUGUGGUUUAAUUCGAUGCAACGCGAAGAACCUUACCUACCCUUGACAUGUCAGGAAUCUUCCAGAAAUGGAGGAGUGCCUUCGGGAACCUGAACACAGGUGC